GGAUCAUUAUUGAAUAAACCUGAUGGGUUGCUGCUGGUCCUUUAAUGGAUAUGUGCACGCCUGUCAUCUUUAUAUCUCCACCUGUGCACCUUUUGUAGACCUGGACAAGUUUCUUGAUGCCUANCAUUAAGGUUUUGGGAUUGACUUUUGUCUUUCCUUAUAUUUCCGGGUCUAUGUUUAUUCAUAUACCCUAAUGUAUGUUAUAGAAUGUAAUAAGUGGGCCUUUGUGCCUAUAACACUAUACAACUUUCAGCAACGGAUCUCUUGGCUCUCGCAUCGAUGAAGAACGCANCGAAAUGCGAUAAGUAAUGUGAAUUGCAGAAUUCAGUGAAUCAUCGAAUCUUUGAACGCACCUUGCGCUCCUUGGUAUUCCGAGGAGCAUGCCUGUUUGAGUGUCAUUAAUAUAUCAACCUCUUCAGCUUUUGCUUGUUGAGUGUUGGAUGUGGGGGGCUUUUUUGCUGGUCUUUUAAAGAGGUCAGCUCCCCUAAAAUGUAUUANCGGAACAAUUUGUUGACCGUUCAUUGGUGUGAUAAUUAUCUACGCUAUUGACGUGANGCAGUUCAGCUUCUAACAGUCCAUUGGCUUGGACACUUUUUUCAUUAAUGUGACCUCAAAUCAGGUAGGACUACCCGCUGAACUUAAGCAUAUCAAUAAGCGGAGGAAAAGAAACUAACAAGGAUUCCCCUAGUAACUGCGAGUGAAGCGGGAAAAGCUCAAAUUUAAAAUCUGUCAGUCUUUGGCUGUCCGAGUUGUAAUCUAGAGAANUGUUAUCUGCGCUGGACCGUGUACAAGUCUCCUGGAAUGGAGCGUCAUANAGGGUGAGAAUCCCGUCUCUGACACGGACUGCCAGGGCUUUGUGAUGCGCUCUC
rnacentral:rRNA from 1 species